rnacentral:rRNA from 1 species
CCUACGGGGGGCAGCAGUGAGGAAUAUUGGUCAAUGGUCGCAGGGCUGAACCAGCCAAGUCGCGUGAGGGAUGACGGUCCUAUGGAUUGUAAACCUCUUUUGUCAGGGAGCAAAGGGCGCCACGUGUGGCGUUUUGCGAGUACCCGAAGAAUAAGCUCCGGCUAACUACGUGCCAGCAGCCGCGGUAAUACGUAGGGAGCAAGCGUUAUCCGGAUUUACUGGGUGUAAAGGGCGUGUAGGCGGGCAUGCAAGCCAGAAGUGAAAUCUGGGGGCUUAACCCCCAAACUGCUUUUGGAACUGCGUGUAUUGAGUGAUGGAGAGGCAGGCGGAAUUCCCAGUGUAGCGGUGAAAUGCGUAGAUAUUGGGAGGAACACCAGUGGCGAAGGCGGCCUGCUGGACAUUAACUGACGCUGAGGCGCGAAAGCGUGGGGAGCAAACAGGAUUAGAUACCCCUGUAGUC